rnacentral:rRNA from 1 species
UACAAGUCGAGCAGGGUCGAAAGACGGACUUAGUGAUCCGGUGGUUCCGCAUGGAAGGGCCAUCGCUCAACGGAUAAAAGCUACCCCGGGGAUAACAGGCUUAUCUCCCCCAAGAGUUCACAUCGACGGGGAGGUUUGGCACCUCGAUGUCGGCUCAUCGCAUCCUGGGGCUGUAGUCGGUCCCAAGGGUUGGGCUGUUCGCCCAUUAAAGCGGUACGCGAGCUGGGUUCAGAACGUCGUGAGACAGUUCGGUCCCUAUCCGUCGUGGGCGUAGGAAAUUUGAGAGGAGCUGUCCUUAGUACGAGAGGACCGGGAUGGACAUACCUCUGGUGUACCAGUUGUCGUGCCAACGGCAUAGCUGGGUAGCUAUGUAUGGACGGGAUAAGUGCUGAAAGCAUCUAAGCAUGAAGCCCCCCUCAAGAUGAGAUUUCCCAACUUCGGUUAUAAGAUCCCUCGAAGAUGACGAGGUUAAUAGGUUCGAGGUGGAAGCGUGGUGACACGUGGAGCUGACGAAUACUAAUCGAUCGAAGACUUAAUCAAU